rnacentral:rRNA from 1 species
AAAUUGAAGAGUUUGAUCAUGGCUCAGAUUGAACGCUGGCGGCAGGCCUAACACAUGCAAGUCGAGCGGUAGCACAGAGAGCUUGCUCUCGGGUGACGAGCGGCGGACGGGUGAGUAAUGUCUGGGAAACUGCCUGAUGGAGGGGGAUAACUACUGGAAACGGUAGCUA